rnacentral:rRNA from 1 species
CCUACGGGAGGCAGCAGUGGGGAAUAUUGCACAAUGGGGGAAACCCUGAUGCAGCACCGCCGCGUGAGUGAUGACGGCCUUCGGUUGGUAAAGCUCUGUCUGCAGGGAAGAUAAUGACGUUACCUGAGGAGGAAGCCCCGGCUAACUAGGUGCCAGCAGCCGCGGUAAUACGUGGGGGGCGAGCGUUGUCCGGAUUUACUGGGCGUAAAGGGAGCGUAGGCGGACUUUUAAGUGAGAAGUGAAAUACUCGGGCUCAACUUGAGUGCUGCAUUUCAAACUGGAAGGCUAGAGUGCAGGAGAGGAGAAUGGAAUUCCUAGUGUAGCGGUGAAAUGCGUAGAGAUUAGGAAGAACACCAGUGGCGAAGGCGAUUCUCUGGACUGUAACUGACGCUGAGGCUCGAAAGCGUGGGGAGCAAACAGGAUUAGAUACCCUUGUAGUC